UGAGGAAUAUUCGGCAAUGGGGGCAACCCUGACCGAGCAACGCCGCGUGGAGGAUGACGGUUUUCGGAUUGUAAACUCCUUUUCUCAGGGAAGAGUGAGGACGGUACCUGGGGAAUAAGUCACGGCUAACUACGUGCCAGCAGCCGCGGUAAUACGUAGGUGGCAAGCGUUAUCCGGAAUUACUGGGCGUAAAGCGCACGCAGGUGGUUUCUUAAGUUUGACGUGAAAGCUCUUGGCUUAACUGGGAGAAGUCGUUGAAGACUGGGAGACUUGAGGCGAGGAGAGGGGUGUAGAAUUCCCGGUGUAGUGGUGGAAUGCGUAGAGAUCGGGAGGAAUACCAGAGGCGAAAGCGGCACCCUGGCCUUGGCCUGACGCUCAGGUGCGAAAGCGUGGGGAGCGAACG
rnacentral:rRNA from 1 species